rnacentral:lncRNA from 1 species
GUUGCCUAUUAAUGUGUCUGAGAGCUUAGGAUGUUUCAAUUAUGGACCAAGGAAACAAACUAUUUUUGCUCCUCGUACUUCCACAGAGUUACGGUUUAUUUGUCACUUGCGAGAGUCUGACGCUCUAAAUCAACAAAGGGCAAGAUGUGGGAUGAAGCAGUUGUUGAGGUUCAGAUGCUGUGGAUCCCAGAGCAGAGAUGCUACAGCACCCCGGUGUACUCAGUUGGCCAACUUGACCCCAGCAAACCUUCCUUAUUUUUCAGACUUGGCUGCCCACCUGGCCCUCCUUGUCUGGGUGUCAAAACUCAAGAGCCAAGGCUCCGCUCUGAAACAGGUCCACACCGUACCUCUGAGACUGGGCCACACGCUGCUGUCGGGGACCCCGUGUCAACCACGGCAGCGAAACAUUACAUCAGAUGCUUGGAACCAAUCAUUUCCACCCUGCCUCCCAUUUCCUGGCCCAGCAGCUGUCACAUCCUGUUGAUUCUCCAGUGA